GGUUAAGCGACUAAGCGUACACGGUGGAUGCCCUGGCAGUCAGAGGCGAUGAAGGACGUGCUAAUCUGCGAAAAGCGUCGGUAAGGUGAUAUGAACCGUUAUAGCCGGCGAUGUCCGAAUGGGGAAACCCAGUGCAAUUCGUUGCACUAUCGUUAACUGAAUACAUAGGUUAACGAGGCGAACCGGGGAACUGAAACAUCUAAGUACCCCGAGGAAAAGAAAUCAACCGAGAUUCCCCCAGUAGCGGCGAGCGAACGGGGAGCAGCCCAGAGUCUGAAUCAGCUUGUGUGUUAGUGGAACGGUCUGGAAAGUCCGACGGUACAGGGUGAUAGUCCCGUACACCAAAAUGCACAGGCUGUGAACUCGAAGAGUAGGGCGGGACACGUGGUAUCCUGUCUGAAUAUGGGGGGACCAUCCUCCAAGGCUAAAUACUCCUGACUGACCGAUAGUGAACCAGUACCGUGAGGGAAAGGCGAAAAGAACCCCGGCGAGGGGAGUGAAAAAGAACCUGAAACCGUGUACGUACAAGCAGUGGGAGCACCUUCGGGUGUGACUGCGUACCUUUUGUAUAAUGGGUCAGCGACUUAUAUUCUGUAGCAAGGUUAACCGUAUAGGGGAGCCGCAGGGAAACCGAGUCUUAACUGGGCGUUAAGUUGCAGGGUAUAGACCCGAAACCCGGUGAUCUAGCCAUGGGCAGGUUGAAGGUUGGGUAACACUAACUGGAGGACCGAACCGACUAAUGUUGAAAAAUUAGCGGAUGACUUGUGGCUGGGGGUGAAAGGCCAAUCAAACCGGGAGAUAGCUGGUUCUCCCCGAAAGCUAUUUAGGUAGCGCCUCGUGAACUCAUCUUCGGGGGUAGAGCACUGUUUCGGCUAGGGGGUCAUCCCGACUUACCAACCCGAUGCAAACUACGAAUACCGAAGAAUGUUAUCACGGGAGACACACGGCGGGUGCUAACGUCCGUCGUGAAGAGGGAAACAACCCAGACCGCCAGCUAAGGUCCCAAAGUCAUGGUUAAGUGGGAAACGAUGUGGGAAGGCACAGACAGCCAGGAUGUUGGCUUAGAAGCAGCCAUCAUUUAAAGAAAGCGUAAUAGCUCACUGGUCGAGUCGGCCUGCGCGGAAGAUGUAACGGGGCUAAACCAUGCACCGAAGCUGCGGCAGCGACACUAUGUGUUGUUGGGUAGGGGAGCGUUCUGUAAGCCUGCGAAGGUGUGCUGUGAGGCAUGCUGGAGGUAUCAGAAGUGCGAAUGCUGACAUAAGUAACGAUAAAGCGGGUGAAAAGCCCGCUCGCCGGAAGACCAAGGGUUCCUGUCCAACGUUAAUCGGGGCAGGGUGAGUCGACCCCUAAGGCGAGGCCGAAAGGCGUAGUCGAUGGGAAACAGGUUAAUAUUCCUGUACUUGGUGUUACUGCGAAGGGGGACGGAGAAGGCUAUGUUAGCCGGGCGACGGUUGUCCCGGUUUAAGCAUGUAGGCUGGUUAUCCAGGCAAAUCCGGAUAAUCAAGGCUGAGGUGUGAUGACGAGGCACUACGGUGCUGAAGUAACAAAUGCCCUGCUUCCAGGAAAAGCCUCUAAGCAUCAGGUAACAUCAAAUCGUACCCCAAACCGACACAGGUGGUCAGGUAGAGAAUACCAAGGCGCUUGAGAGAACUCGGGUGAAGGAACUAGGCAAAAUGGUGCCGUAACUUCGGGAGAAGGCACGCUGGUGUGUAGGUGAAGCCCCUGCGGGUGGAGCUGAGACCAGUCGAAGAUACCAGCUGGCUGCAACUGUUUAUUAAAAACACAGCACUGUGCAAACACGAAAGUGGACGUAUACGGUGUGACGCCUGCCCGGUGCCGGAAGGUUAAUUGAUGGGGUUAUCCGUAAGGAGAAGCUCUUGAUCGAAGCCCCGGUAAACGGCGGCCGUAACUAUAACGGUCCUAAGGUAGCGAAAUUCCUUGUCGGGUAAGUUCCGACCUGCACGAAUGGCGUAAUGAUGGCCAGGCUGUCUCCACCCGAGACUCAGUGAAAUUGAACUCGCUGUGAAGAUGCAGUGUACCCGCGGCAAGACGGAAAGACCCCGUGAACCUUUACUAUAGCUUGACACUGAACAUUGAGCCUUGAUGUGUAGGAUAGGUGGGAGGCUUUGAAGCGUGGACGCCAGUCUGCGUGGAGCCAACCUUGAAAUACCACCCUUUAAUGUUUGAUGUUCUAACGUUGGCCCCUGACCGGGGUUGCGGACAGUGUCUGGUGGGUAGUUUGACUGGGGCGGUCUCCUCCCAAAGCGUAACGGAGGAGCACGAAGGUUAGCUAAUCCUGGUCGGACAUCAGGAGGUUAGUGCAAUGGCAUAAGCUAGCUUGACUGCGAGCGUGACGGCGCGAGCAGGUGCGAAAGCAGGUCAUAGUGAUCCGGUGGUUCUGAAUGGAAGGGCCAUCGCUCAACGGAUAAAAGGUACUCCGGGGAUAACAGGCUGAUACCGCCCAAGAGUUCAUAUCGACGGCGGUGUUUGGCACCUCGAUGUCGGCUCAUCACAUCCUGGGGCUGAAGUAGGUCCCAAGGGUAUGGCUGUUCGCCAUUUAAAGUGGUACGCGAGCUGGGUUUAGAACGUCGUGAGACAGUUCGGUCCCUAUCUGCCGUGGGCGCUGGAGAAUUGAGGGGGCUGCUCCUAGUACGAGAGGACCGGAGUGGACGCAUCACUGGUGUUCGGGUUGUCAUGCCAAUGGCACUGCCCGGUAGCUAAAUGCGGAAGAGAUAAGUGCUGAAAGCAUCUAAGCACGAAACUUGCCCCGAGAUGAGUUCUCCCUGAGACUUUAAGUCUCCUGAAGGAACGUUAAAGACGAUGACGUUGAUAGGCCGGGUGUGUAAGCGCAGCGAUGCGUUGAGCUAACCGGUACUAAUGAACCGUGAGGCUUAACCUU
rnacentral:rRNA from 1 species